UGCCUGAGAGUGAGUAAAGUGUCAACAAAUGAAAAAAUGAUGCAACUACUUCCAAUAGGGCUGUAGUGUUGUGCGAUUUCUGAGUUAAUAUUUAUAUUGUUUGGAGAUGAUUUAUCAAGAAGAGUAAAUUAAAUGAUUUGAUGGCAUUUCAGUGUAUAAACUAUUUAUUAUAGGUACAUUCCUAUUAUAAAGAGCAUUUCUAUACAAAUAUAACACAUUUCAUUUUCUUCUGUAUUAAUGACUUCUUUUUAUAAUGAUAUGUUAUAUUAAAUGGAAUAUUUGACUGUGAAAUGGAACAUUAGAGGCUCAGGUGCCAUUUCCUCGCCCCUGUUGAAUGAUGUCAUGUAGCAAACAUGCUGAACACAGCUCAGCUUAUGAAAGACAGAACUAAAUGUCUCUCAGUUCAGCAAAUAAAAUUAUUUUUGGAAGUUAAA